rfam:Sarcophilus harrisii ctg7180002474425, whole genome shotgun sequence.
GGGAAACGGAAUGAGGCCCCAGCUCCAGGGCCCGCAAAAAACACUUGGGGUA